CGGAACUUUGCUGUGUGCACGAGGCCUGGAGAUGAAAUGGAGGACUUGGCCUGACGCCAGGUAGUCACUGCUGAGGACCCCAACAACUCUGAACACCUGCGGGGCUCUGUUAAGGUCCCAGGAAAAAAUGCAAGCGCUUCGGGGGCCAGUUUGUGAUCCACAGAGCUGCGAAGACAGGCGUGACUUGUUUUGAUUCUCCUCUAAAAGCGUUCACCAUUAGAAUUACUGGAAAGGCUGUACAGAGACUCGUGAGCAGAGUUACCAGUAACUCUAAGACCAGCGUACCACACAGGAAUUUCCAGAACUCCGUGAAGAGGCCGAAGGCUCGCCAAGUGCCAGCGCAACUUGGAAGAGGAACUAAGGAAGGAGACUGAGUCAACGAGUGAAAACCAUGGGUUUUCUGCCCUUUACUUGAAAGAUUACUUUUUUGUUGUUGUUUUCUAGAUUUAAAGCUUCUGAAGCUAUCUACAGCUUACAGUAAUUUGAUAAAAAUAUACUUUUGUAAACAGGUGGGAAUAAUUUACUUUUCCCUCCCUGCUUAAUUCCUCUCAAAUUAAAAACCUUAUUCAUAUUUU